rnacentral:rRNA from 1 species
UACGUAGGUCCCGAGCGUUGUCCGGAUUUAUUGGGCGUAAAGCGAGCGCAGGUGGUUUAUUAAGUCUGGUGUAAAAGGCAGUGGCUCAACCAUUGUAUGCAUUGGAAACUGGUGGACUUGAGUGCAGGAGAGGAGAGUGGAAUUCCAUGUGUAGCGGUGAAAUGCGUAGAUAUAUGGAGGAACACCGGUGGCGAAAGCGGCUCUCUGGCCUGUAACUGACACUGAGGCACGAAAGUGUGGGGAGCAAACAGG